UACGGAGGGUGCAAGCGUUGUCCGGAUUUACUGGGUGUAAAGGGCGUGUAGGCGGGAGAAUGUGUCGGAAGUGAAAUCGCGCGGCUUAACCGUGUCAAUUGCUUCCGAAACUGUUUUUCUUGAAUACGGGAGAGGCAGAUGGAAUUCCAGGUGUAGCGGUGGAAUGCGUAGAUAUCUGGAAGAACACCAGUGGCGAAGGCGGUCUGCUGGCCCGUGAUUGACGCUGAGGCGCGAAAGUGUGGGGAGCAAACAGG
rnacentral:rRNA from 1 species